ensembl:lncRNA PURPL p53 upregulated regulator of p53 levels
UGAGGUGGUGCUAUGUAGCAGGAACCCCUCUUGCUUUGCAAAUAGUUUUUUGUUUGUUUUCCUUUUUGCCCAAUAGAGCCCUGCUCUACUGACCCUUCAAUGUGCCCGUGUGCCUAAAUAUUCCUGGUCGUGUGAAAAGAACCCAGGUAUUAGCUGAACUAAGGAGCACAAUUCUGCAACAUUUUGGCACCCAAACACGGGGCUUGAGAAAUGAAUGCAAUUGGAGAAACUGGUUGUUUUACCAGGCGUUGAUUGGAAAUGUGUGCUUCCCUUUAAGCAGUCAAGCUCAACUUGCAGAACUGAUGGGAACCCCUUGGGAAAACUGGCCUCAAAUGUUUGUCUACACAGUCCACAUACAGGGUUCUUAACCUGCGACUGACCCUGCUUGUGCCUGUGAACCAACCAACAAUCUCUGGCUGCAGCUCAGAAAGGACAAAAGAGAAUGGUGGACUGGAGCCCAAAAUGCACACUGGAGGAAGUGGAUGGAGCCACGUGGAUGUCAUGCCUUAUGCAGGGGAGGAGCCUGCUCUCUUCAGCUCCUGUGGUAAUGUGGGAAUCGAUCUGUGAGGUGAGGACCUGUUAGCAGGAACCCCUCUUGCUUUGCUGAAAGUUUUAUUUUUCUUUUUGCCCUAUAAAACCCUGUUCUACUAACCCUUCAAUAUGUCUGCAUUCCUAAAUUUUCCUGGUCAUGUGACGAGAACCUAGGUUUUAGCUGAACUAAGGAGCAAAAUUCUGCAACAUAAAGUCAAAGAAAACUAUGCCUAUAUCCAUUAAAUCAAAUGUUAAAAAGCAAAUAUAAAGAAAAAGUCUUCACAGCCCUAGAGAAAAGUGAAACAUUGUACAUAAAGAAGUAAUAAUUUGAAUGGAUUGUCAGAAACCAUGACUAGAAGACAGAGGAGCAAUAUUUUCAAAUUUCAUAGAGAAAGGAAAAAAAGAAAAGAAGAAAAAAAAGAAGACAUAAUAAAACACCUGUCAUUUUAGUAUUCUGUACCCAUUGAACAUAACCUUCAAUAGAAUGUGAAGUAGACAUAUUCAGGUGAAUAAAAAAUCAAGAGAAUAAUAGUUAUGUUCUACAUGAAAUUAUAAAGGAAAUUUCUCAGACUAGGUGGAAAUUAUACUAGUGAGAAACAGAUUUGAAGGACUAAAGGAAGAGAUGAUAGACUGACAAAGUCAAUUUUUAAAAGCCAGAUCUAACUUCUUAUUGGCUACAAGGAAUCCACUUUUAAUAUACAAAAAUAGGUAAUAAUUAAAUUGCUAGAAAAUACAUUUCAAAUAAAGAAUCAGCACAUGUAGCUUGGAGAAGAUAUAUUAACAUAAAAAGGACUUCAAUAAAAGGAGUAUUAUGAGAAGACAUUUAUGCAGCCAAAAAACACAUGAAAAAAUGCUCACCAUCACUGGCCAUCAGAGAAAUGCAAAUCAAAACCACAAUGAGAUACCAUCUCACACCAGUUAGAAUGGCAAUCAUUAAAAAGUCAGGAAACAACAGGUGCUGGAGAGGAUGUGGAGAAAUAGGAACACUUUUACACUGUUGGUGGGACUGUAAACUAGUUCAACCAUUGUGGAAGUCAGUGUGGUGAUUCCUCAGGGAUCUAGAACUGGAAAUACCAUUUGACCCAGCCAUCCCAUUACUGGGUGUAUACCCAAAGGACUAUAAAUCAUGCUUCUAUAAAGACACAUGCACAGGUAUGUUUAUUGCGGCACUAUUCACAAUAGCAAAGACCUGGAACCAACCCAAAUGUCCAACAAUGAUAGACUGGAUUAAGAAAAUGUGGCACAUAUACACCAUGGAAUACUAUGCAGCCAUAAAAAAUGAUGAGUUCAUGUCCUUUGUAGGGACAUGGAUGAAAUUGGAAAUCAUCAUUCUCAGUAAACUAUCACAAGGACAAAAAACCAAACACCACAUAUUCUCACUCAUAGGUGGGAAUUGAACAAUGAGAUCACAUGGACACGGGAAAGGGAACAUCACACUCUGGGGACUGUUGUGGGGUGGGGGGAGAGGGGAGGGAUAGCAUUAGGAGAUAUACCUAAUGCUAAAUGAUGAGUUAAUGAGUGCAGCACACCAGCAUGGCACAUGUAUACAUAUGUAACUAACCUUUACGUUGUGCACAUGUACCCUAAAACUUAAAGUAUAAUAAUAAUAAAAUAAAAUAAAAUAAAAAUUUAUCAGAAAAACAAUAUCAAUUAUAAUGUAUAUACCUAAUAAGAGAGCUCAAAAUAUUUGAAACAAAUCUGACAGAAUUAAAAAGAAGAAUGGAUAAAUUCACAAUUAUAGAAAAAGAUUAUACACCAGUUUCUUAAUAAUUGAUACAACCACUGGAGAAAUAAUAAGAAAGCAAAAAUAAAGACAUAGAUCCAAAUAA